UACGUAGGGUGCAAGCGUUGUCCGGAAUUAUUGGGCGUAAAGAGCUCGUAGGCGGUUUGUCGCGUCUGCUGUGAAAACUCGGGGCUUAACCCCGGGCCUGCAGUGGGUACUGGCAGGCUAGAGUGCGGUAGGGGAGACUGGAAUUCCUGGUGUAGCGGUGAAAUGCGCAGAUAUCAGGAGGAACACCGGUGGCGAAGGCGGGUCUCUGGGCCGUAACUGACGCUGAGGAGCGAAAGCGUGGGGAGCGAACGGG
rnacentral:rRNA from 1 species